GACGAACGCUGGCGGCGUGCUUAACACAUGCAAGUCGAACGGAAAGGCCCUGCUUUUGUGGGGUGCUCGAGUGGCGAACGGGUGAGUGACACGUGGGUAACCUGCCCUUGACUUUGGGAUAACUUCAGGAAACUGGGGCUAAUACCGGAUAGGAGCUCCUGCUGCAUGGUGGGGGUUGGAAAGUUUCGGCGGUUGGGGAUGGACUCGCGGCUUAUCAGCUUGUUGGUGGGGUAGUGGCUUACCAAGGCUUUGACGGGUAGCCGGCCUGAGAGGGUGACCGGCCACAUUGGGACUGAGAUACGGCCCAGACUCCUACGGGAGGCAGCAGUGGGGAAUAUUGCACAAUGGGCGGAAGCCUGAUGCAGCAACGCCGCGUGCGGGAUGACGGCCUUCGGGUUGUAAACCGCUUUCGCCUGUGACGAAGCGUGAGUGACGGUAAUGGGUAAAGAAGCACCGGCUAACUACGUG
rnacentral:rRNA from 1 species